GACGAACGCUGGCGGCGUGCCUAAUACAUGCAAGUAGAACGCAGUUGCGCACGGGUGAGUAAUGCGUAGGUAACUGCCUCAUAGCGGGGGAUAACUAUUGGAAACGAUAGCUAAUACCACAUUCUGUGAGAUGGACCUGCUUUGUUUUAGCUAGUUGGUGUGGUAAAGGCUAACCAAGGCGACGGUACAUAGCCGACCUGAGAGGGUGAUCGGCCAAACUGGGACUGAGAAUGGGCCGAUACUCCGACGGUGAGCAGCGGUAGGGAAUCUUCGGCGAUGGAGGGAAGUCUGACCGAGCAACGCCGCGUGAGUGAAGAAGGUGUUCGGAUCGGAAAGCUCUGUUGUUAGAGAAGCGGUAACUAACCAGAAAGGGACGGCUAACUCCGUGCCAGCAGCCGCGGUAAUAC
rnacentral:rRNA from 1 species